CCCAAAACAACCAAUCAAUUAAAGCCUUAUGAUAUGUGGCUGAUCAUGUUUCAUAAUUAGAACAUAAGAUAAUAUCUUCGCACGAUUCUCGUUAACGUCUAUGCAUAACGGUUUUAUAAAGUUUGUCCGUUUUUCUUAGAAAGUUUCCUCGGUUUAAUAUAAAAAUAGAAGAUGUGGUAUGAUUGUUAAUGAGACAACUCUCCACAAGAGAGACCAACUGACUAAAGUUCGCCGUACGACCUUCAACAAUGAGCCAAGUCCAUAAUCGAAAU
rnacentral:lncRNA from 1 species